GAUAAACGCUGGCGGCGUGCUUAACACAUGCAAGUCGAACGAAGUUUUUCUUUCGGGAGGAACUUAGUGGCGGACGGGUGAGUAACGCGUGGGUAACCUGCCCUGUACAGGGGGACAACAGCUGGAAACGGCUGCUAAUACCGCAUAAGCCCUUAGCACUGCAUGGUGCAUAGGGAAAAGGAGCAAUCCGGUACAGGAUGGACCCGCGUCUGAUUAGCCAGUUGGCAGGGUAACGGCCUACCAAAGCGACGUUCAGUAGCCGAUCUGAGAGGAUGUACGGCCACAUUGGGACUGAGACACGGCCCAGACUCCUACGGGAGGCAGCAGUGGGGAAUAUUGCACAAUGGAGGAAACUCUGAUGCAGCGACGCCGCGUGAGUGAAGAAGUAUUUCGGUAUGUAAAGCUCUAUCAGCAGGAAAGAAAAUGACGGUACCUGACUAAGAAGCACCGGCUAAAUACGUG
rnacentral:rRNA from 1 species